CCUCAUCCUCGAGCCCCACUACUCAGAGGAGCUGGGAAGAAUUUCCACCCUUCCUAGUGGCAAGUCUCACUGUGAGAGCGGAGUGCCACCAGGCAAACAGGGCAGAAAGACUGCUUUAAGGAGAAUCCUUAUAUUGGGGGUUAUGAAGUGCAAUACACCCUCAUCCUCACGCUAACACUGGUACCAUGUAGCCCAAGCUUGUCUAACCUGCAGCCCGCGGGCUGUGUAUGGCCCAGGACAGCUCUGAAUGUGGCCCAACGCAAAUUUGUAAACUUUCUAAAACAUUAUGAGAUUUUUUUUUCUCAUCAGCUAUCAUCAGUGUGAGUGUAUGUUAUUUGUGACUCAAGACAAUCCUUCUUUUCCAAUGUGGCCCAGAGAAGCCAAAAGACUGGACACCCCUGAUGUGGCCCUUUCAUCCAUAGUAGCCUAUUUUGUCCUAAAGACGGUCUUGUGCAGUGAGUAGGCCAGGCCUCCCCACUACCACAGUUUACAGGCAAGGAAUGUGAUAUUUCAUAGGAUGACCCUGACUGGCACCUACAUUGCUAGCCAAAGAAUGGCACAAAGAUGUGGACAGAAGAGACAACCUUAAGCAGCUGACUGCUGGCUCCUGCAACAGUAUCAUCAUGGCAUUUGUCCUGGGGUCCCAAGGAAAGAAAACAAAUCUGUGGCUGAGGAACAGACUGAGUUGACAAAGCAGCUUCCACAGUAACACAAGGACAAAGGGUGUAUGUAGAUAUGCACGUGGUAGCAGGUUCUACUAAAGGAACCUGGACCGACCAUUCGCACUCACAUUCUUUGGGAGCUGUAUUCUAAUACUUUCAGAAAAGCCAUGGGAACACACCAGAGUGACUGCUCGAGUAAAUAAGUAGCAUAAACAGCAAGCCAAACCAUUGAUGUACACAUCACUGGGCCCAAUACUAUGAAAUCCCACAUAAGAAACUUGAAAGUGAAAGCUGGAAUUCUGAGGAUACUGGUUUUGCUUAAUAAACAGCAUUUCAACAGGUGAGUCAACUUAGUGUUAUUGUCAUGAUAUUGCUACUGAUGCUGAACAAAGACCCAAGAACCAGGGUGAUGUUUAGCAUGGGCUGGCCUCAGCAGGACUGAAAGGACAUCAAUAAGGGAGAACAGAGAGAAGGAAGGAGGACAAGUGCCAACUUUGA
rnacentral:lncRNA from 1 species